rnacentral:rRNA from 1 species
GACGAACGCUGGCGGCGUGCUUAACACAUGCAAGUCGAGCGGAGUGCAGCAGUUAGCUUGCUAACAGCUGUUACUUAGCGGCGGACGGGUGAGUAACGCGUGAGCAACCUACCUAUUAGAGGGGGAUAACACACCGAAAGGUGUGCUAAUACCGCAUGAAGCAGACAUAUCGCAUGAUAAGUUUGUUAAAGGAGCAAUCCGCUAAUAGAUGGGCUCGCGUCUGAUUAGCUAGUUGGUAAGGUAAUGGCUUACCAAGGCGACGAUCAGUAGCCGAACUGAGAGGUUGGUCGGCCACAUUGGGACUGAGACACGGCCCAGACUCCUACGGGAGGCAGCAGUGGGGAAUAUUGCACAAUGGGCGCAAGCCUGAUGCAGCAACGCCGCGUGAGGGACGACGGCCUUCGGGUUGUAACCUCUUUACGUAGGGUAGAAGCGAAAGUGACGGUACCUGCAGAAAAGACACCGGCUAACUACGUGCCAGCAC